rnacentral:piRNA from 1 species
UAUUGUGUCGUUCUGAUACCUAGGCC